AUGAAACCUUGCUCACAUAUAUCCUCUCACAGAAAAUGGCCUACCUUAGAGGAACCUAUAGGGAAUAAAGAAGAGAAAAAAAGACUGGAACAUAACACUGACUUCAAAAGGAGGAUGAUUUUGGUUGAGGAUUUCCCCAACUUUUGGAAAGGCUACAGCUCAUAUGCAAGUGCAAAAUGCUGUCUGGAGAAGAUAUGCUGGAAAGGGAAAGAGAAGGAGUUGACAUGUUAUUGGCAUGGGGUCAAUAAUGCAAAGGGCACACAAAUUAGCCACACCUCUCAGUGGAAUCCUUUCCUACCAAUGGCAGAUGGUGAUCACAGAACACAGUUUUGCCACAACCUAGGAAGGAGAAGAUGGCUGAAAUCAACAUGCACUGCAAGAACCUGGGAUUCAUCUCCUUUAAUGGGGUCAAAGAAGGAAGAAAUUGCUCCUGGAAGCUCACAUGGAUGUUGUGACAUGAGAGGCUUGCAGACCACACCCCACCACCAUGUCCUUCCUACUGUGCCUCCAAAUGUCCUGCCAGCCAUGAGGUUUGGUGGAAAGCAGCUUUUGUCCUUCCAUCCAAAGGCAGUGGUGGCCCAUCAGAAAAGCAAGGAUCCAAGUUCUUCAUUUUCCUGA
rnacentral:lncRNA from 1 species